CUGCACGCCACGAGCCGUGUUG
rnacentral:snRNA from 1 species